GACAGUAAGAUACAAGAAUUAAAGUCCUGACUUCAUCAUUUCUUAGACAUGGGACUUUUUAAAAUCAGAAUUGGCUCAUCUGUAAACUGGAGCUAAUAGAGAAUAUAUCGCCAAGAACAUAGAGACCACCCCAGAAAAACACAACUACACUCAAUGCAGAGAUCAACAGACAAUGGAGAGCCUGCCUCAAGUGGAUACACUGACAUCACAACUCCUGCAUCUACAACUCAGGGGACACCACGGAAGAGGUGGCAGAAAGACUGUAAGAGCCAGAAUACCGGGGGGACAUCUGCAGUGAAACAGUCUCUCCUAGAGAGGACUGCAUAAACAAGACUGAACAAUGGCAAUGUCAGUGCACACGUUACUUUGGAGGGGAGAUAUUAUCAGGGGUUCCACUCCUAGGCAAAGCACAAUAGGCAGUUAAUGGCUGCCGGGAAGAGAAUUAGCCUAAGAGCUCAGACCCCUUAUUGGUUGCCCAUUGCAUAGUAGGCAAGCACUGAAAACCACAUGUACCAAGCAACAAAGUGGUCUCGGCAGGUUGUAUUUCUACAUAUUUGUACACAUACAUAUAUUUAUACAUAUGUAACAAUAAUAAUCAAAAAGAAAGCGACUUUUAAUUUGAUAGAGGAAGGACAUGGAGAGUAGAGG